rnacentral:lncRNA from 1 species
AGCUGCUUCCAACCUGACGGCAGAUGCUGCUGGCACUUGGUCCCCUUCACCCGCGGCUAGCGAGGGUGCAUGCGCAGUUGCAUUAGACAGUUUUCGACAUACCUUCUCAGAUGGAGUCUUACUCUGUCACCCAGGCUGGAGUCCAGUGGCAUGACCUCAGCUCAUUGCAACCUCUGCCCCACCCGGGUUCAAGCGAUUCUCCUGCCUCAGCCUCCUGAGUAGCUGGGAUUACAGGAGAGACAGAACAGCUGAGGAAACAGCAGAACGGUGGAAAAUUUUUGAAAGUGUUUUGAGCCCACCCAACCUGAGGAGAGCAUUCAAAGAAAAACAGGAAGAAGGGCUUUGGACAGUCCUGAUAAUUGGCUAACGGUGGGAUACACAUAGACUUGUUAUUAACAGCCAAGAUAACUUGAGUCAUUGAGUGACUAAGACAUGUGCCUGUCCUUACAACCAGGACAAGAUGAAGAUGCGAUCCAUGUGAAGCCUCUGGCAUCCUGAGCAGUCAACCCCUCCCAUUCUGAGCUCUUUCCACUGACCUCAGAAGAAGGCUGGCUCAAAUAACACACUUGUCAAAACACCUAGGAAACCAUGAGUUUGGCACAUGAUGAGAAAAUUGGGCUCAAAGAGGACAGGAUUUUCCCAUUAUGGAACAACUAAUAGGAUUCACAGGCCUCUUGAUGUUACAUGUCACAUUCAUAUCACUGGAUGAUAUAUCAGAAGGAUAGUUCUCUGAUCCAAUAUCCAUGUUGGUGUAUGUAAAUGAUGAGCUUUCCUGCACUACAAAAGCAUUUUAUAAUUAAAGAGAAUUUUUCCUCAAUUCAGAAAGGUAACUAUAGAUAAUUAUAUAUAUCAUACCUGAAAGGGUAAAGGAACGUUUACAGAUUACUUUGUGUCUUUUGAAUUUUUAAAAAUGAAGGUUUGCAAACCAAAAAUAAAAUUCUAAGCCCCCGACCAUCUGAGUGGACCCCUCCUUUCAGCAAGGGCAUUCCAAAGCUAACCUGAAAA